rnacentral:rRNA from 1 species
GGCGCCUGUUUAACAAAAACAUGUCCUAUUGUAUUAUUUAAUAGGUCUGGCCUGCCCAGUGAUAAUUUCAACGGCCGCGGUAUAUUGACCGUGCAAAGGUAGCAUAAUCAUUAGUCUUUUAAUAGGAGGCUGGAAUGAAAGGUUUAACGAGAAAUUGACUGUCUCAAUUGCAAUCUUGAAUUUAUCUUUUGAGUCAAAAGACUUAAAUAUAAUUGGUGGACGAGAAGACCCUAUAGAGCUUGACAAUUAUUUUUUUAUAUUUACUUAGACUGAAAUUAUUUAUUUAUAUUAAAAAAAUUGUUUUGUUGGGGUGACAAUAAAUAUAUAUUUAACUUUUAUCAUAUUAUUAACAUUAAUUUAUGACUUUUGGAUCCAAAAAUUUUGAUCAUUAGACUAAGUUACCUUAGGGAUAACAGCGUAAUCUUCCCUCAGAGUUCAUAUUUACGGGAAGGGUUGCGACCUCGAUGUUGGAUUAAGAUAAUAAUUAGGUGCAGUAGCUUAAUUAAUAGGUCUGUUCGACCUUUAAAUUCUUACAUGAUCUGAGUUCAGACCGGUUUAAGCCAGGUCGGUUUCUAUCCCCAAUUUAAUAUCAGUUAUUAGUACGAAAGGACCAUAAUUGAAAAAUAUUUUUUAUGUUUUGAAUUUUAUU